GUGACCCCUCGGGACAGGAUGGCCCACAGGGGAAGCUGCACAGGGAUGGCCUGGCUGCCUGUCCUGCUGGCGUCCCUGGUGUGCCGGGCCAGUGCGGAGGAGGCCAGCUGUGGCGAGAACGAGUUCUACAACCAGACCACCGGGCUGUGCCGCGAGUGCCCGCAGUGCGCGCCAGGGGAGGAGCCCUACCUGUCCUGCGGUUAUGGCACCAGGGACGAGGACUACGGCUGCGUUCCCUGCCCUGCGGAGAAGUUCUCCAAGGGCGGCUACCAGAUCUGCCGGCGCCACAAGGACUGCGAGGGCUUCUUCCGCGCCACGGUGCUGACCCCGGGGGACACAGAGCGCGACGCUGAGUGUGGGCCCUGCUUGCCUGGCUACUACAUGCUGGAAAACAGACCGAGGAACAUCUACGGCCUGGUAUGCUACUCCUGCCUGCUGGCACCCCCCAACACCAAGGAAUGUGUGGGAGCCGCCUCGGGAGUUUCUGCCAACUUCCCCCGCACACCUGGCAGCAGCACCCUGUCCCCACCGCAGCUCGCUCACAAAGAGCUCUCAGGCCAAGGACACCUGGCCACCGCCCUGGUCAUUGCCAUGUCCACCAUCUUCACCUUGGCCGUCGCCAUCGUCCUCAUCAUCAUGUUCUACAUCCUGAAGGCCAGGCCGUCUGCCCCCGGUACCCUCCGCCCCCCACACCCCUCACCAGCCCCCUCUCCCGGCUGGCCACUCAUGCCCCCUGUCCCCUCAGCCUGCUGCCCCAGCACCCCCGUGAAGAGCCCAGAAGCCCCCGUGAGCGAGGAAGAGGAGAAGAAAGAGGCCCAAGACAACGUGGUGAUCUUCUCCGAGAAGGACGAAUUCGAGAAGCUGACAGCGGCUCCAGCCAAAUCGGCUAAGAGUGAGAACGACGCCUCAUCAGAGAAGGAGCAGCUGCUGAACCGGAGCCUGGACAGUGACGAGGAGCCGGCCCCGGAUGGGCAGGGCCCCCCGGAGCUAUGCCUGCUAUCGCUGGUCCACCUGGCCAGGGACAAGUCAGCCACUGCCACCCGGGCGGCCGGGCUCAGCCCCACGGAGCUGCCCUUCGACUGCUUGGAGAAGACCAGCCGGAUGCUCAGUGCCACGUACAACUCGGAGAAGGCGGUGGUGAAGACGUGGCGCCACCUGGCUGAGAGCUUUGGGCUUAAGCGGGACGAGAUCGGUGGCAUGACAGAUGGGCUGCAACUGUUCGACCGCAUCAGUACAGCCGGCUACAGCAUCCCCGAGCUUCUCACCAAACUGGUGCAGAUUGAGCGGCUGGACGCCGUAGAGUCCCUAUGUGCGGACAUCCUGGAGUGGGCGGGGGUCCCGCCGCCCGCUGCCCCGCCACCCCCCGCAUCCUGA
rnacentral:lncRNA from 1 species